GUGGCUUUAAUCACUAGAAGCAAAACGAGUUUUAGAGUUGGAAGUGAUUUUGCUCACAAGAAGCAAAAUAAAAGGAAAGAAAACAGUAAGAAUUGAACUCACGUCAAUUUCAUCAAUAUAACUAAGAUAUGAUACUUAGUGGUUAGAUGAAUUAGCUCAUAACAAACACAAGGAAAUAGUGAGGAGUAUUUUGAUCCUAUUUUGCUAUGGAAAAGGCAAAGUGGAAAAGUAUAAGGGAUUUUGGUAUCAAAUAUCAAGAAGGGGACAAGGUUAUGAUGAGUGUU
rnacentral:lncRNA from 1 species